rnacentral:misc_RNA from 1 species
GAAAUGUGAUGUUUAUGGGUUUGGGGUUUUGGUACUGGAGGUUGUUACUGGCAAGAGGCCUGUUGAGUACAUGGAAGAUGAUGUGGUGGUGCUUUGUGACAUGGUCAGAGGAGCACUGGAGGAAGGAAGGAUAGAAGAAUGUGUUGAUGAAAGGCUCCAAGGGAAUUUCCCAGCUGAUGAGGCAGUUCCAGUAAUGAAAUUGGGAUUGAUUUGCACUUCACAAGUGCCAUCAAACAGGCCAGAUAUGGGAGAGGUAGUAAAUAUAUUGGAGCUGAUCAGAUGCCCUUCAGAAGGACAAGAAGAGUUGGGAUGAAUGUGAAACCAUAAUUAAAAAUUAAAGAGUUAAGGAUUUACUAUGGGUUAUCCGGCGAAGAGGAAUCCGGUUUGUUCAAUUGAUCAAAGAGGAUAAACUUCAUUGUUGGAAGUUCUUUCCUUUUAUUUAUCUUGUAUUGGUUGGUUCUUCUCUUGUUUAUUUUCAGUUUAUGCUUGUAGUUUCUUCUCAAUGUUACAGUUAAGUUACCGGAUUCCUUUUCACCGGCUAUAUUAUUGCUACUUAUCUUCAUCUUCCACUGGGCCUUUGCUUUUGUUUCUAGUUAUUAGCUAUAAUUGCACUGAUUUCUGACUAUAAGUUUGCGAGGCACUAAGCCUGAAACUUGUUUGAUUGCAUUGUAAAUCAUUCAGGCAUUUUGAUAUGAACUUCCUUGUGGAUUUCUUGUUUCUGGCCAACAUUCUUACUUUGGUAGUGAAUGCCUUGCUCGUGUAACUCCAGCUGGUGCAGACAAGCUGAAAACUUUCCACAGGAAGUAUAUAGUUCUCAAUGCUUGUGUUGACUCCAUGGUUGCAGACUUUGGGCACAAGUCCUGUAUCGCAGUUUAUCUAGUGCUUCACUUUUUCAGUGAACGGC